rnacentral:rRNA from 1 species
GGUUAAGCGACUAAGCGUACACGGUGGAUGCCCUGGCAGUCAGAGGCGAUGAAGGACGUGCUAAUCUGCGAAAAGCGUCGGUAAGGUGAUAUGAACCGUUAUAACCGGCGAUGUCCGAAUGGGGAAACCCAGUGCAAUUCGUUGCACUAUCGUUAACUGAAUACAUAGGUUAACGAGGCGAACCGGGGGAACUGAAACAUCUAAGUACCCCGAGGAAAAGAAAUCAACCGAGAUUCCCCCAGUAGCGGCGAGCGAACGGGGAGCAGCCCAGAGUCUGAAUCAGCUUGUGUGUUAGUGGAACGGUCUGGAAAGUCCGACGGUACAGGGUGAUAGUCCCGUACACCAAAAUGCACAGGUUGUGAACUCGAAGAGUAGGGCGGGACACGUGGUAUCCUGUCUGAAUAUGGGGGGACCAUCCUCCAAGGCUAAAUACUCCUGACUGACCGAUAGUGAACCAGUACCGUGAGGGAAAGGCGAAAAGAACCCCGGCGAGGGGAGUGAAAAAGAACCUGAAACCGUGUACGUACAAGCAGUGGGAGCACCUUCGGGUGUGACUGCGUACCUUUUGUAUAAUGGGUCAGCGACUUAUAUUCUGUAGCAAGGUUAACCGUAUAGGGGAGCCGCAGGGAAACCGAGUCUUAACUGGGCGUUAAGUUGCAGGGUAUAGACCCGAAACCCGGUGAUCUAGCCAUGGGCAGGUUGAAGGUUGGGUAACACUAACUGGAGGACCGAACCGACUAAUGUUGAAAAAUUAGCGGAUGACUUGUGGCUGGGGGUGAAAGGCCAAUCAAACCGGGAGAUAGCUGGUUCUCCCCGAAAGCUAUUUAGGUAGCGCCUCGUGAACUCAUCUUCGGGGGUAGAGCACUGUUUCGGCUAGGGGGUCAUCCCGACUUACCAACCCGAUGCAAACUACGAAUACCGAAGAAUGUUAUCACGGGAGACACACGGCGGGUGCUAACGUCCGUCGUGAAGAGGGAAACAACCCAGACCGCCAGCUAAGGUCCCAAAGUCAUGGUUAAGUGGGAAACGAUGUGGGAAGGCACAGACAGCCAGGAUGUUGGCUUAGAAGCAGCCAUCAUUUAAAGAAAGCGUAAUAGCUCACUGGUCGAGUCGGCCUGCGCGGAAGAUGUAACGGGGCUAAACCAUGCACCGAAGCUGCGGCAGCGACACUAUGUGUUGUUGGGUAGGGGAGCGUUCUGUAAGCCUGCGAAGGUGUGCUGUGAGGCAUGCUGGAGGUAUCAGAAGUGCGAAUGCUGACAUAAGUAACGAUAAAGCGGGUGAAAAGCCCGCUCGCCGGAAGACCAAGGGUUCCUGUCCAACGUUAAUCGGGGCAGGGUGAGUCGACCCCUAAGGCGAGGCCGAAAGGCGUAGUCGAUGGGAAACAGGUUAAUAUUCCUGUACUUGGUGUUACUGCGAAGGGGGGACGGAGAAGGCUAUGUUAGCCGGGCGACGGUUGUCCCGGUUUAAGCAUGUAGGCUGGUUAUCCAGGCAAAUCCGGAUAACCAAGGCUGAGGUGUGAUGACGAGGCACUACGGUGCUGAAGUAACAAAUGCCCUGCUUCCAGGAAAAGCCUCUAAGCAUCAGGUAACAUCAAAUCGUACCCCAAACCGACACAGGUGGUCAGGUAGAGAAUACCAAGGCGCUUGAGAGAACUCGGGUGAAGGAACUAGGCAAAAUGGUGCCGUAACUUCGGGAGAAGGCACGCUGGUGUGUAGGUGAAG